rnacentral:lncRNA from 1 species
UAAUGAUCAGGCGUUGCCUUUGCUGAAAAGUGUAUUCAAAAUUGAAAUGACAAUUUUUUUAACCAACUUUUCGACGCAGUUUGUAUUAUUAGCUUACAUACAUAAAUGUAUGUUUAUCAUAAUAAGCAAAUAAAUAUUACGUUAUUUCAUAAGAAACGCGAAAUCCAUGUAAACAGCGGCUAAACGCUGAUGAAGAAGGUUCUGCAUAAAUUGUGAUGCAAAAAUUGAAUUAGAUAUAGAGGGAGCAAAAGGGCCGGACGUACAGAAGUUUCGAUAGAUGUCCAUACAAUUUUAAUGAAUUUGCACGUGCAGCAAAAAUCUUAUAGUGAAAUUAGUGCAGAUACCUUAUUCAAAAGUGAGAAAUAUUAUAAAAUAAUAUGUACAUCAAUACCGGAGAUUUAGAGCACGAGAACAGGUCUGGACGCACAAAAAAUGCAUACCUCGUCAGGCUCGAGCUGUAAUAGCUGCAGUGAAUCAGAAUCCGAAGAUUUCAGCAGAACACUUUACACAAAGCUGGUUAUCAUGGGCGAGUUCCACGGCGUAAGUCAUUCAUUUCGGAUACUAAUAAAAAUAGAGGCUGUAGGUCACCAAACUUAAUCUUAAUCAACCGGAAUCUAAUAAUAAGGAUAAGGUAAUAAUGUCGAAUCAAAAUUUAAUAUGUCUGUUUCCAAUGGUGGGAAAAAAAACUUGGCGAAAACGAAACAAAGAGCUCCAGGAAAAUGACUGUAAUGGCGGCGGUAACGUAAUGGUUUGGGGGUGCAUUGCAGAAUCUGGUGAGAGAAAUCUUAAAGGAACAUUUAUCUUCCAGCGUUGAAAAGUUGGGCUUAAGCCGGCAGCCAUCCCUGUUACAACAAGACAAUGACCCGAAAAAUGCCUCAUAUGUUGUGCAAGAAUGGUUUAACUUCCAUUGUAAGCAAUUAAAAACACCUCCGCAAUCCCCACUGGGGGAUUCCCCAGGCACAAACCCUAUAGGGCAUAUUUGGCAUCUACUUGAAAAAAAAUGCAGACUCACCAUAUAACAUUGAAGGAUCCACUUAAAGGGGUCAUACGUACAGAAUGGGCAAAUAAAACUCCUGAGCAUACAUCUAAAAUAGUUGGAAGAAGUUUAGAAGCAGUUAUUCAGCUCAAAGGUUUGACAAAAUAUUAGAAUUAAAAAAGUUGAAUUCAAAACAAUGUUUUCCAUAUGUGUGCCUGAACUUUUUUAUGUGGAAUCU